rnacentral:rRNA from 2 species
ACGAUAACGGCGUCGAGCGGCGGACGGGUGAGUAAUGCCUAGGAAAUUGCCCUGAUGUGGGGGAUAACCAUUGGAAACGAUGGCUAAUACCGCAUGAUGCCUACGGGCCAAAGAGGGGGACCUUCGGGCCUCUCGCGUCAGGAUAUGCCUAGGUGGGAUUAGCUAGUUGGUGAGGUAAGGGCUCACCAAGGCGACGAUCCCUAGCUGGUCUGAGAGGAUGAUCAGCCACACUGGAACUGAGACACGGUCCAGACUCCUACGGGAGGCAGCAGUGGGGAAUAUUGCACAAUGGGCGCAAGCCUGAUGCAGCCAUGCCGCGUGUGUGAAGAAGGCCUUCGGGUUGUAAAGCACUUUCAGUCGUGAGGAAGGUAGUGUAGUUAAUAGCUGCAUUAUUUGACGUUAGCGACAGAAGAAGCACCGGCUAACUCCGUGCCAGCAGCCGCGGUAAUACGGAGGGUGCGAGCGUUAAUCGGAAUUACUGGGCGUAAAGCGCAUGCAGGUGGUUUGUUAAGUCAGAUGUGAAAGCCCGGGGCUCAACCUCGGAAUUGCAUUUGAAACUGGCAGACUAGAGUACUGUAGAGGGGGGUAGAAUUUCAGGUGUAGCGGUGAAAUGCGUAGAGAUCUGAAGGAAUACCGGUGGCGAAGGCGGCCCCCUGGACAGAUACUGACACUCAGAUGCGAAAGCGUGGGGAGCAAACAGGAUUAGAUACCCUGGUAGUCCACGCCGUAAACGAUGUCUACUUGGAGGUUGUGGCCUUGAGCCGUGGCUUUCGGAGCUAACGCGUUAAGUAGACCGCCUGGGGAGUACGGUCGCAAGAUUAAAACUCAAAUGAAUUGACGGGGGCCCGCACAAGCGGUGGAGCAUGUGGUUUAAUUCGAUGCAACGCGAAGAACCUUACCUACUCUUGACAUCCAGAGAACUUUCCAGAGAUGGAUUGGUGCCUUCGGGAACUCUGAGACAGGUGCUGCAUGGCUGUCGUCAGCUCGUGUUGUGAAAUGUUGGGUUAAGUCCCGCAACGAGCGCAACCCUUAUCCUUGUUUGCCAGCGAGUAAUGUCGGGAACUCCAGGGAGACUGCCGGUGAUAAACCGGAGGAAGGUGGGGACGACGUCAAGUCAUCAUGGCCCUUACGAGUAGGGCUACACACGUGCUACAAUGGCGCAUACAGAGGGCGGCCAACUUGCGAAAGUGAGCGAAUCCCAAAAAGUGCGUCGUAGUCCGGAUUGGAGUCUGCAACUCGACUCCAUGAAGUCGGAAUCGCUAGUAAUCGUGGAUCAGAAUGCCACGGUGAAUACGUUCCCGGGCCUUGUACACACCGCCCGUCACACCAUGGGAGUGGGCUGCAAAAGAAGUAGGUAGUUUAACCUUCGGGGGGACGCUUACCACUUUGUGGUUCAUGACUGGGGUGAAGUCGUAACAAGGUAGCGCUAGGGGAACCUGGCGCUG